rnacentral:rRNA from 1 species
CGCAUACGUCCUACGGGAGAAAGGGGGCUUCGGCUCCCGCUAUUGGAUGAGCCUAUGUCGGAUUAGCUAGUUGGUGAGGUAAAGGCUCACCAAGGCAACGAUCCGUAGCUGGUCUGAGAGGAUGAUCAGCCACAUCGGGACUGAGACACGGCCCGAACUCCUACGGGAGGCAGCAGUGGGGAAUAUUGGACAAUGGGGGCAACCCUGAUCCAGCCAUGCCGCGUGUGUGAAGAAGGCCCUCGGGUUGUAAAGCACUUUCAGCGAGGAAGAACGCCUAGCGGUUAAUACCCGUUAGGAAAGACAUCACUCGCAGAAGAAGCACCGGCUAACUCCGUGCCAGCAGCCGCGGUAAUACGGAGGGUGCAAGCGUUAAUCGGAAUUACUGGGCGUAAAGCGCGCGUAGGUGGCUUGAUAAGCCGGUUGUGAAAGCCCCGGGCUCAACCUGGGAACGGCAUCCGGAACUGUCAGGCUAGAGUGCAGGAGAGGAAGGUAGAAUUCCCGGUGUAGCGGUGAAAUGCGUAGAGAUCGGGAGGAAUACCAGUGGCGAAGGCGGCCUUCUGGACUGACACUGACACUGAGGUGCGAAAGCGUGGGUAGCAAACAGGAUUAGAUACCCUGGUAGUCCACGCCGUAAACGAUGUCGACCAGCCGUUGGGUGCCUAGAGCACUUUGUGGCGAAGUUAACGCGAUAAGUCGACCGCCUGGGGAGUACGGCCGCAAGGUUAAAACUCAAAUGAAUUGACGGGGGCCCGCACAAGCGGUGGAGCAUGUGGUUUAAUUCGAUGCAACGCGAAGAACCUUACCUACCCUUGACAUCUACAGAAGCCGGAAGAGAUUCUGGUGUGCCUUCGGGAACUGUAAGACAGGUGCUGCAUGGCUGUCGUCAGCUCGUGUUGUGAAAUGUUGGGUUAAGUCCCGUAACGAGCGCAACCCUUGUCCUUAUUUGCCAGCGAGUAAUGUCGGGAACUCUAAGGAGACUGCCGGUGACAAACCGGAGGAAGGUGGGGACGACGUCAAGUCAUCAUGGCCCUUACGGGUAGGGCUACACACGUGCUACAAUGGCCGGUACAAAGGGCUGCGAGCUCGCGAGAGUCAGCGAAUCCCUUAAAGCCGGUCUCAGUCCGGAUCGGAGUCUGCAACUCGACUCCGUGAAGUCGGAAUCGCUAGUAAUCGUGAAUCAGAAUGUCACGGUGAAUACGUUCCCGGGCCUUGUACACA